UGCGUAACCCACUGGUACACCAUAUAUCCAUCACUCCACGUUGUUCUUCUUCGACCACGUGUAGAAAGAUGAACGAUUUGCUUCGCGAUGCCAUAGCAAAUCUGCAGACUUAUUUUUCUGGUUCCAAAAAUACUCAAGAACUGUUAUUGCGAUUAAAACAAUAUAUCAUCCCAAUUGAAGAGAGGAAGUAUUGCAGAAUACUGCCCACUAGUAAUAUCAUAUAUUUCACUGGAUACUAAUAUACUAUAUACCAGAUCUUAUUGCCUCGUUCUAAUAUACACAAACUAAUUACUAAGACAAUAUUACGAAUUGAUACUAUAAAGGAAAUAUCAUGCAAGACUUUUAAUGUUUGAUACAAUGCUUAGUAUGCUAAAUGAUAUGUAAAAUUAUUUAUUCCUGCGACGCUAAUUAAUCAUAAUCUGUCAAACACCAAUGUCCGGUUGUGAGGAACAUUACACCGUUACACAGUUAAACCAUGCACAUGACGAAAAUCAGACGUCAGCAUGAGAGAACCUGCGUAUCCACGUAUCCACUGCACUAAAAUAUAGACUAUAGAGCAACCUAUCACAAUUUGAUCUAUAACUAACUGCAUGCCUCGUUCUCAAAAUAACGCAUGACAAUUUGAUAUAUUAAUGCUAGUCUAACUGUAUAUGCCUCGUUCUCCAAAUAACGACUUGACUUCGUAUCCGCGUAUCCACGAAAAUAUAGAGCUACCUUUAACACGUGCACUAUGACAAUUUAAUAUAUUAAUGCUAAGUCACUGCAUGCCUCGUAGCUACCGUUACCAAUCUAUUUAUUAUUAAUCUAUUGAGAAUAAAUAUAGAUGUAUUAAUACAUCGUACACAUGUUUGAAAGCCAUAGCUUAAAAUAUGGACGGGUAUUCUGCAAUCGCUCUGGACGAUAUUGCAAUGUUUGUUCAGAAUUAUGGAAUCAAAAACAAUGAAACUUGCAGAGUUACAAAAGCAAAGAAAAGAGUUACAAAAAAGAGUUACAAAAGCAAAGAAAAGAGGUACAAAAAAGAGUUACAAAAGCAAAGAAAAGAGUUACAAAAAAGAGUUACAAAAGCAAAGAAAAGAGUUACAAAAAAGAGUUACAAAAGCAAAGAAAAUCAUGUGGGAAUGGCGAAUAUAACUUAAUAAAAUAUGUCAGAUGUCAUCACCACACAAGAUAUGAAGCCACAAUGUGUCCUGCUCAGAUUUUGGCAUCAGGGAAGCGCAUCUAAUAAGAAGAGUAUCCGCUGAAUGUUUCGUUUAAGGGCGCGGGUCAAUGAUGCGUCCGACUAUCAAUGAGGAGUCCGACUGUCUACGGAAAAAAAAUUUUGCAUCGUCACUGGGUAACAAUAUACGGUAGGCAUGCAUGCUCAAUCAAAAACAAUUUGGUUGUUUGAAAUUUUUAUCUGUAAACCACAAUUGGAAAUUUAAAAAGCAAAAAUAUUUUCUGUUUGCAAAGCAAAAAUUUCCCGCGCCAGAUAAACGACAUCCGGGACACCGGUGCAGACACGGAAAAUACGGACCACAGUCCGGAUAUGGGUUUUUACGGACCGCUUGUCGACCAAUCAGAAUAGAGAAUUUUGAAAAGCCAUAUAAUAAUAAAAGUUACUGGAAGUAACAUUGAGUAUUACAGUCAAACCUGAUGUUCUGUUCCCAU